GUGGGUUGCGUCAGGGAGCAGCAGGGCCUAUGGCAAAAGAAAGUGCGAGUGUCACUGCCAAGAGAGACAGGGACAUCUCCCAGUUUCUGUCAGUGUCAGUGUGUUGUCAUGUGGGAGACAGGCCCAGGCUUGCAAGAGCUUCUGGUUCAUUGAGGGAAGCCAGAAAUCUGAAUUUUCAUGUGAAAUUUACUGGGAUUUUUUUGAGGCAGUUCAUUCAAACUUUGCAAAAGCACUGUAUGGGCCAAAUAAGCCACCUCUGUGAGCUGAAUGCAGCCCAUGGGCAAUCAGCUGGCAAACUCUGGGGUAAGAGGAACAAGGAAGAAGCUGGGGCAGAGCCCUGGGGCCAUGGCUGCAGGGUUUGCUCUCUGAAGGAAAUCACAGGAGGUAGGAGGUUUUGGGAGAGAGUGGGUUGGAGUGCUGGGUAUCACAGAAGGCCACGAGUUUGAGAAUGGAAAUUUGGCCUACAGAGCAACACAGAACAAGUCUGUGCAAUGGUAGGGGCAGAAGCCAUCUUUUCAGAGCCAUCAGAAAGUUUCCACCUGCUAUGGCUGAAUGUUUGUGUUCCUCCCAAAUUCAAGUGCUGAAUUCCUAACCCCGAAGGUGAUGGUUUUAGGAGGUGGUGUCUUUGGGGGGUGAUUAGGUUAAGGGAGUGGAGCUCCCCAUGACUGGGAUUAGUGCCCUUAUAAAAGAAAGAGACCCCAGAGAGCUCCCUUGUCCCUUCCACUCUGUGAGGACACAGCAAAAAAAAUGUCGUCUAUGAACCAGGAAGAGAGUCCUCAUCAGACACUGGACCUGUCAAUGCCUCGAUCUUGGACUUCCAGCCGCUGGAACUGUGAGAAACAAAUUUCUGUUGUUUUCAAGCCACCCAGUCUAUGGUAUUUUGUUAUAGCAGCCUAAACAUACUAAGAUACCACCUUAUUUACAAGGGACAGUAAGGAAGAAGGAAGGAAAGUGUCUUUGCUUCAGAGCAGAGCUACCCUAGAAGGGAGUGGUUGAGGACUGCUCAGCCAGUGUGAGGCCCAUUCCCCACCAAUCCCAUUUGAAGGGAGAUGGAGCUGCUGACACCUUCCGGUGGCCUCCUGCGAUGUUGUGAAUCACAGACUUUGUGAAAUGAAAGGUUAAUGAUGUUCAAAACAGAAGAAUAAGGUUCAUCACUCCCACCCCCAACUCCUGUUCCAGGUGCAAGGCCUGGGGUGAGCUCCUUGGUCCGUCCACCUGAGAGCGACUGUGAGAGCUGGAAGCAGCACCGCCCAGCAGUGCUUUCCUCAUGCACAGCCACCUUCUCCAUCUGUGCCGCCCAGUACAGUAACCACGUGGCUGCUGAGCACGUGAAAUGUGGUUACUGUGACCGAGGGGCUGGAUCUGUUAUUUUAUUGAAUUUUAACUAAAAUAGCCUCAUGGGACUAGCAGCUGCCAUAUUGGAUUAUGCAACUCUAGAGGUUUGGAAGAAACAUCACGACUACAUAGGCAAUGACUCUGCCCUUCCCUAUCUCCUUUCUCAUCUCUCCUGAGGAGGAGGGAAGGCCAACAGGGAGCCUGGUGUCCUGGGUUGGGUCACUCUGUAUUGAUAAGACCCUGUGAGUGUGGCUCCCUUUUCUCUCUCUUACCUCCCAGGGGCUGGAUAGCGAGGCUGAGGUGGGGCCUGUCUUCUUGGGGCUCUCAGGGUCAUCUUGUCCUCUCUCUUUCUUGAUUCUUAUAGGCAGCUCUGGCACUCUGGUCUUAUCAGGCCCAGAGAGAGCUGGACAUAGACCAGGGCUUAGUGGACUGGACACAACUCCAUGGGUUGUGGGCCUGAGCCUUGAGCUUCAGCUCAGUCACCCACCUACGGGUUCUGCUUGCCUGGCAGCUAGCCGGGCUCAUCAUAAAAGGACCACGGUUAGUUUCCUUCCCCUGAUCUCUCAGGUGAGGUUGUCUCUCAGAAGGACUUGGUGGGACAGGAGUAGGGGAGGAGUGGCCUUGGUUUGGCAGGAUUCAAGCAUUCUUGAGUUCCUAAAACAUUUGCAUCUAAUAGGGUCUCAAGCCCCUAACAAUGGUAUUUUCUUAUUUUUUAUUCUGGUAUUCAAAUAAUAAUGAUAAUAAUAAAAUUAACUUCACAUAUAAUAUAGAAACAUAUUCCCAUUGUAAAAGAUGAAAAUAAUUCAGGAAGUCCUCCCCAUAGAUAAAAUUGCCUAUAGCCCUCCUCCCAGUCUUCCUUCUGUACACACACACACACACACACACACACAUGCACACACACACACACACCAGCAGGGGUGUUUUAACCCCCACUGCCAAAGAUUAUACUAUAUAUUCUGUGACUUGCUUUUCUCACAUAUCAUAUCUUGGGGGAAUCUUUCCAUAUCGGUUAAUGGAGGUAGAUCCCACUCCUUUUAAAUUGCUGCAUAGUAUUCCAUUGUACUCACGCAGCGUGGCUUCCUUAAUCACUCCCUGUGAAUGGAUAUUUGUUUUCCCCCCUAAAUUUCGAUAUCAAAAACUGUGUUGCAAUGAGCAAUUUUGUACAUACCUCUUUGUACAUGUCUGUGAGCAUAAGCAGACACACACACAAUAGGGAGGUGUGUAGACUGUGGUUCAGCAAGUGUUCACUCCUCCCCUACCCCAGCCUCCAUGGGAGGGGUGUACCUCCCAUCCAGUUGACAUCCAGCUUGGCCCCGUGACUUGCUUUGCCCAACAGAAUGAGGGCAGGAGUGAGGGGCACCAGUUCUGACUUUAGGCCUGAAGAGGCCUUGAAAGUUCCCACUUGUCCCUCUUUGGCUUCUACUUUCAUCGCGAGAGUAACACUCCCCAGGGAGCUAUUGGUCCAAGAAGCCUGAGAGACACAGUCUGGAGCCCAGCCCAGCCAUGUCCAGCCUAGAUCAGCUGAACCCCAGCCAAACAGCAGGCAAGUAAGUGAGAAAAUAAGUGCUUGUUGUUCUCUCCAGCUGAGAGUUCAAGGUUGUUACACAGUAAAAGUCGCCUGACACAAGUGAAAACUGGUAGA
ensembl:lncRNA novel transcript